rnacentral:lncRNA from 1 species
AUCAUAUCAUAAUAACAAUUAUUAAAUUAUAAUUAUAAUUAUAAUAAGGCUAAAUUACAGAAAACUCCCAUUGUAAUAACCCGCUUAUUUUACUUUCACUCCGUGACAUUUAAAAACCUACACUUUGCCCCUCUGUAAAAUAAAAAAUGUGCACUUCACCCCCUACCGUUAGAAUUCCGUCAGGGUUCCGUUAAAAAAUAUAUUUUUAUGCCGAAAAUACCCCUCCGCCAUCUCCUUGUUGCUUCGACUCCCCCCGGCUCGCCACCUCGCCGCUACCUCGCCGCCUAGCCGCCUCGCCGCCUCGCCGCCCUUCAUUGCCUCGCCCUCACCCACAUCCUCUUCGCCGUCCUCUGCCGCCUCGCCUUCGCCUUCUUUACCCUUCUCCUACUGUCGCCCACCUCGGUUUUCUCCUAUUGUCGCCGAAAUCGAGGGCGGCGAGGGUGCAGGAGGAGAAGGGGAGCAGGUGGAGAAGGUAAUGGAGAGAAAUCGCGGCCGAUUGAGCUGGAAAUCGCGGCCGAACGAAGGGGCGGCUGAGAAAGAUGGAGAAGAAGAUGACAAUGGCGAGGGGCAAAAUGGUCAUUUACACACCGUAACCCCUCUGUAAAUAUUUUUUAUUUUACAGGGGGGGCAAAGUAUAGGUUUUUAAAUGUCAAGGAGGAAAAGUGAAAAAAUGGGUUAUUAUAGGGGGUUUUCAGUAAUUUAGCCUUAUAAUAAUAAUCGUUAUAAUUA